GACGAACGCUGGCGGCGUGCUUAACACAUGCAAGUCGAACGGAAAGGCCCUGCUUUUGUGGGGUGCUCGAGUGGCGAACGGGUGAGUAACACGUGAGUAACCUGCCCUUGACUUUGGGAUAACUUCAGGAAACUGGGGCUAAUACCGGAUAGGAGCUUCUGCUGCAUGGUGGGGGUUGGAAAGUUUCGGCGGUUGGGGAUGGACUCGAGGGUUAUCAGCUUGUUGGUGGGGUAGUGGCUUACAAAGGCUUUGACGGGUAGCCGGCCUGAGAGGGUGACCGGCCACAUUGGGACUGAGAUACGGCCCAGACUCCUACGGGAGGCAGCAGUGGGGAAUAUUGCACAAUGGGCGGAAGCCUGAUGCAGCAACGCCGCGUGCGGGAUGACGGCCUUCGGGUUGUAAACCGCUUUCGCCUGUGACGAAGCGUGAGUGACGGUAAUGGGUAAAGAAGCACCGGCUAACUACGUG
rnacentral:rRNA from 1 species